rnacentral:rRNA from 1 species
UGAGGAAUCUUGCGCAAUGGGGGAAACCCUGACGCAGCAACGCCGCGUGAGUGAGGAAGGCCUUCGGGUCGUAAAGCUCUGUCAGAUGGGAAGAAAUGGGCGGGGGCUAAUAUCGUCCACCCUUGACGGUACCAUCAGAGGAAGCACCGGCUAACUCCGUGCCAGCAGCCGCGGUAAUACGGGGGGUGCAAGCGUUGUUCGGAAUCAUUGGGCGUAAAGCGCGCGCAGGCGGCUUGGUAAGUCAGAUGUGAAAUCCCUGGGCUUAACCCAGGAAGUGCAUUUGAUACUGCCUCGCUAGAGUACGGGAGAGGAAAGUGGAAGUCCUGGUGUAGAGGUGAAAUUCGUAGAUAUCAGGAGGAACACCGGUGGCGAAGGCGACUUUCUGGCCCGAUACUGACGCUCAGGCGCGAAAGCGGGGGGAGCAAACAG